rnacentral:rRNA from 1 species
CUUGGUCAUUUAGAGGAAGUAAAAGUCGUAACGAGGUCUCCGUUGGUGAACCAGCGGAGGGAUCAUUA